rnacentral:rRNA from 1 species
CCUACGGGAGGCAGCAGUGGGGAAUAUUGCACAAUGGAGGGAACUCUGAUGCAGCGACGCCGCGUGAGUGAAGAAGUACUUCGUUAUGUAAAGCCUUAUCAGCAGGGAAGCAAGUCACGGUACCUGAACAAGACUCUCCGUCUCAAUAGGUGCCAGCAGCCGUGGUAAUACGUCUGGAGCAAGCGUUAUCCGGAUUUACCGGGUGUAAAGGGAGAGUAGGUGGCAGAGCAAGUCCGAAGUGAAACCCCAAAGCUCAACUAUGGGAAUGCUUUAGAAACUGCUCAGCUAGAGUGCAGGAGAGGCAAGUGGAAUUAUUGGUGUAGCGGUGAAAUGCGUAGAUAUUAGGAGGAACACCAGUGGCGAAGGCGGCUUGCUGGACUGUAACUGACACUGAGGCUCGAAAGCGUGGGGAGCAAACAGGAUUAGAUACCCGUGUAGUC